rnacentral:rRNA from 1 species
GUGGGGAAUUUUGGACAAUGGGGGCAACCCUGAUCCAGCAAUGCCGCGUGCAGGAAGAAGGCCUUCGGGUUGUAAACUGCUUUUGUACGGAACGAAAAGGCUCUGGUUAAUACCUGGGGCUCAUGACGGUACCGUAAGAAUAAGCACCGGCUAACUACGUGCCAGCAGCCGCGGUAAUACGUAGGGUGCAAGCGUUAAUCGGAAUUACUGGGCGUAAAGCGUGCGCAGGCGGUUUUGUAAGACAGGCGUGAAAUCCCCGGGCUCAACCUGGGAAUGGCGCUUGUGACUGCAAGGCUGGAGUGCGGCAGAGGGGGAUGGAAUUCCGCGUGUAGCAGUGAAAUGCGUAGAUAUGCGGAGGAACACCGAUGGCGAAGGCAAUCCCCUGGGCCUGCACUGACGCUCAUGCACGAAAGCGUGGGGAGCAAACAGGAUUAGAUACCCUUGUAGUCC